UUUAUUUUUUAUAAUAGUAAAACAUAAAUGACCGGUUUUUCCGGUCCGGUCUGACCAGUUGAACCUCGAACCCCUCGCUAGACCUGUUCGAUAUGUGGUCCAGUUUUGAAAAUAUUGCUUUUUAUACAUCUAUUAUUCAAAAUUAAAUGUAUAUACAGCAUAAGUGUUCAUUUACCAAGCCCAUUCGACUAUUAUCACAUGCCUCAUCAACAAAGGCACGUCAACUAUUAUAUAAGGUUUUUAUAAUACGUUUAAGAAGUAAGAACACAUUUGUUGUAACAGACGUCGAAUAAAAAUAAAAAACAUAGACAUCGGAUCAAAAGUCUAUUGACAUCAAGGUUGUUCAUUAUUUUUCUGAUAUUUUGGUGAAACAAUCAUGUCUUUACUAACAUCUGUACAUAACCAUUUUGGUGAAACAAUCAAGUAUGUCUUUACUAACAUCUGUACAUAACAUAACCAUUUUGUCGACUGAGGCGGUUAAUAGGAUAUGAUUACUUGAAAAUCCAGGCAUGUUGCUUAAUACAUUGCAUCGUUUGUAAAUGUGGGGAAAAACUUAAUAGAUGAUGGUUGUAUAAACUGUUGAUUGAAACCCAAGAAGUCAAACCAACUCAACAGCAUUUCUCAUGGUUGGUAGAUUUUUCUAGUCGGUCUAGGAAACUUGAUCUUGCAUUGAAGUUUAUCAAGGCACUGAAAGCUAGGCAAGUGCAAGGAGGGCAUUGUUCAGUGGUUGCAGAACAGGCUAUACAAUGGAGACAACGAUUCAGGAAAAAUGCUGCUGAAUGUGUUCUUCAAUGGGCUCUGUCUAACUUGAGUGGUUACAUGCUUGCAUCAACCAUGUAUGCAGUAUGCUGCACUGGUGGGAUGCUGCUACAAGGAUCAGAGACAUAGUAAAAUAUAAUAAUGUUAAGGCUGUAUCUACAUACAGCAUGGUUCGUUUUAGUAGAAGUGCUGAAAUAUAAUUGCUGGAGAUGGAAAUGAUCGUUCGUCCAUGAGCUACUAUUGACGAAUUACACAAGUGUGUGAAGAUGGUAGUGGCUGUUGUUUGGGCCACUAAUCAGACUCUUAUAGUGAUUGGAAUUGGUUACCAAAGCAGGUACUUCAAGUGCUCAAUCUUUACCUGCCAAUGAUAGAUACCAUCUGCAUCGCAAAAAUCAUCAUGGGGAUUGAGAGUUGCCAUUGAAGGAUGACCACAGCCUUCUGCUGCCAUGGAUGUGAAAGCAGUUGCAGAAGCUGAAGCAGCUCCUUUACUAGCUGAAAAGGCAGCAAGGAAAGCAGAGGUAGCAGAAGCAAAUGCAGAUUACUUGUUUCCCGCAGCAAAGCGCAAGAUGUUUUUCAAGUAAUGCUUAUCAAUAAUUGGCAGGGGAUCCAGGAAGCGUUUAUUCGGCCUAAUAAAUGACCUACCGCACCAUCUUUGAAGUCAUAAUAGAAAGGAAGCAUUAAAGUACAGAUACUGCAAUGAACAACUCGCCUAAAAUGCUAAAAGGGCCAAUAACACGCAACAGGCUACAGCCACUCCAAUAAUAAAAAAUUUGGUCAAAGUGAAGAUGAUUUUGGGUACUUCCCAUGGGAUGACGUGGAUGAGCGCUGCUAACGACAUGGUAAUCAUCAUCGCUAUGAUCAAAGCAACUAAUGUCAGACAUAGGUUGUGAUGCUUUUGUGUUGGUUUGUUUCCUGCUUCUCUAAUAAGUUGCAGUAUACCCAGGAGCACCGACGAACACCCAGCGCUGCAAGCAGCGAACUGUGCGAGUUCCCUGAAACUGUAAAGAAAAUAAAAAUGUUAAACAAGAGUUCCCUGAAACCUACUUGUAUUUUACUGUCAACAGAAUGUUCUUUAAUUAGGUAGUAA